rnacentral:rRNA from 1 species
CUCUGUGACUCCUACGGGAGGCAGCAGUGGGGAAUAUUGCACAAUGGGGAAACCCUGAUGCAGCCAUGCCGCGUGUGUGAAGAAGGCCUUCGGGUUGUAAAGCACUUUCAGUAGGGAGGAAGGUAGUGUAGUUAACACCUGCACUAUUUGACGUUACCUACAGAAGAAGCACCGGCUAACUCCGUGCCAGCAGCCGCGGUAAUACGGAGGGUGCGAGCGUUAAUCGGAAUUACUGGGCGUAAAGCGCAUGCAGGCGGCCUGUUAAGUCAGAUGUGAAAGCCCCGGGGCUUAACCUCGGAAUUGCAUUUGAAACUGGCAGGCUAGAGUCUUGUAGAGGGGGUAGAAUUUCAGGUGUAGCGGUGAAAUGCGUAGAGAUCUGAAGGAAUACCAGUGGCGAAGGCGGCCCCCUGGACAAAGACUGACGCUCAGAUGCGAAAGCGUGGGGAGCAAACAGGAUUAGAUACCCCUGGUAG